rnacentral:rRNA from 1 species
UCCUACGGGAGGCAGCAGUGGGGAAUCUUAGACAAUGGGGGAAACCCUGAUCUAGCCAUGCCGCGUGAGUGACGAAGGCCCUAGGGUCGUAAAGCUCUUUCGCCAGGGAAGAUAAUGACGGUACCUGGUAAAGAAACCCCGGCUAACUCCGUGCCAGCAGCCGCGGUAAUACGGAGGGGGUUAGCGUUGUUCGGAAUUACUGGGCGUAAAGCGCGCGUAGGCGGAUUGGAAAGUUGGGGGUGAAAUCCCAGGGCUCAACCCUGGAACUGCCUCCAAAACUAUCAGUCUAGAGUUCGAGAGAGGUGAGUGGAAUUCCGAGUGUAGAGGUGAAAUUCGUAGAUAUUCGGAGGAACACCAGUGGCGAAGGCGGCUCACUGGCUCGAUACUGACGCUGAGGUGCGAAAGUGUGGGGAGCAAACAGGAUUAGAUACCCUGGUAGUCCACACCGUAAACGAUGAAUGCCAGACGUCGGGCAGCAUGCUGUUCGGUGUCACACCUAACGGAUUAAGCAUUCCGCCUGGGGAGUACGGUCGCAAGAUUAAAACUCAAAGGAAUUGACGGA